rnacentral:rRNA from 1 species
CACGUAGGGUCCGAGCGUUGUCCGGAAUUACUGGGCGUAAAGCGUCCGUAGGUGGCUAGUCAAGUCUGCGGUCAAAGACUGGGGCUUAACCCUGGAAAGGCCGUGGAAACUGACGAGCUAGAGUGCAGUAGGGGUAGAGGGAAUUCCCGGUGUAGCGGUGAAAUGCGUAGAGCUCGGGAAGAACAUCGGUGGCGAAAGCGCUCUACUGGACUGCAACUGACACUCAGGGACGAAAGCUAGGGGAGCGAAUGGG